rnacentral:rRNA from 1 species
UACCUACGGGGGGCAGCAGUGAGGAAUUUUGGGCAAUGGGCGAAAGCCUGACCCAGCGACGCCGCGUGGGCGAUGAAGGCCUUCGGGUCGUAAAGCCCUGUGAGUUGGGAAGAAGCCGUGCGGUGCCAAUACCACCGCGCGGUGACAGUACCAGCAGAGGAAGCCCCGGCUAACUACGUGCCAGCAGCCGCGGUAAAACGUAGGGGGCAAGCGUUGUUCGGAAUUACUGGGCGUAAAGCGCGUGUAGGCGGUCUGGCAAGUCGGAAGUGAAAGCCCUCGGCCCAACCGGGGAACUGCUUUCGAAACUGCCAGGCUUGAAUGCGGGAGGGGAGAGCGGAAUUCCCGGUGUAGCGGUGAAAUGCGUAGAUAUCGGGAAGAACACCGGUGGCGAAGGCGGCUCUCUGGACCGUGAUUGACGCUGAGACGCGAAAGCGUGGGGAGCAAACAGGAUUAGAUACCCCAGUAGUC